GCUCCUGUAGUCUAGCCCGGUCAAAUAAACUUUUUGAGAAAAAGUUUAAUCAAAAAGUAAUAGACUAGGGACAACGGCCUUUCGCGCCGUGAACCCGCGUUCAAAGUAAGCUUUUUAGAAAAAAGCUUAAGCAAAAAAACUAAAAAGAAUAUGAAAGUCGCGGCGGGAGCA
rnacentral:tRNA from 1 species